GCAAUUCCCCACAAUGGAUGACCACUUUCAACUAAUUCUGAAUUUGGAAAUAUAAAUCAUCUCCAGUGCACACACAGAGUCAAGAAAUCAAAAGCAUCAUCUAUUUCUCCCAAAGUCGCAAGAUUCUAAGGAUGGAAUGACAUGGGAAAAGCAAAAGUUGAGUGACCAAAAGGUGAAAGGGUGACUUGUUCAAGCAUCCUCAAGUAGAAGCAUUGAAUACAAAAAAUCAAGAGAAAUUUUGGAAAUUGAAUACACAGAGCAGAAUGGCUCAUUCGAUACAUCAUGGUCAAGGCAACUCAUAGAAGACAGAGUUUACUUUGUGCAUAUCAUUUCAGCAUCAUCGAAUCCACGACCUACUGUUCUAUCAGGAGCAUAGAUGGCAUCAGGAAGGCAGACAUGGAGCUGGAGCAGUACCUAUGAGUUCACAUCUUGAGAACACGGCAGAGACAUAUUUGGAACUUUUGGAAAAAUUCAAAGUCAGAGGAGGUCCUUAGAUCCUUUGGAACUCGAGUUAUGGAUGGUUGUGAGCUACCAAGGGAGUACUUGGAAUCAAAACCCGGUCCUCUGCAAGAGCAGCAUGUGCUCCUGACUUCUGAGACAUCCAUCAGGGUCCUCCUGAUACACAGGCUGAAACCAAUAGGGCCAAGGAGCCAUGAAUUGAAAACAUGAGUCACCCCACAAAUGGAUCAUUUGACCUCAAAGGGGUCAUAGCUCACAUACUGAGAACCAGCACUUUAAGGCUUUCUUGAAGUCUUGCAAACAAUACUAGUAUCCAGAACAACCUGAAGUUCAAAAAUAUUAAAGGUCUUCUGUUAAAUUUUCUAUCAAU
rnacentral:lncRNA from 1 species